CCAUGGAUGAGCUACAUUAGUUGGAUGAAAUGGCAUGACAAUGGCUAAUACAGUACCCACCUGAGUUGUGGUCAAAGUGCACAUUCUUUUCAGGAAGCAAAUCUAGUAUGUUGUUGAACAAUAUUUAUGAGUCAUUCAAUAAGUACAUAGCUGAUGCUUGAGAUAAACCUAUUAUCAUUUUGUUUGAUACUAUUAGAAGGCUCUUGAUGCAGUGAUUCCAAGCAAAAAGAGAAGAUUUAGGCAAAAUUAUAGAACCUAUUUAUCCAAAGAUUUAGAAGAAGUUGGAGAGAAAUAACUUAAAGGCUAUGGAUUGCAAUUGCAUAUGGGG
rnacentral:lncRNA from 1 species